GAUGAACGCUGGCGGCGUGCCUAACACAUGCAAGUCGAACGGAGUCCAGCCUUUAAGACCUUCGGGUCAAAGAGGGGAAGACUGAGUGGCGGACGGGUGAGUAACACGUGGGCAACCUGGCUCAUAGAGGGGGAUAACAGAGAGAAAUUUCUGCUAAUACCGCAUAGCACACACUGCCGCAUGGCAGAGGGGGAAAAGAGAAUCGCUAUGAGAUGGACCCGCGUCUGGUUAGCCAGUUGGCAGGGUAAGAGCCUACCAAAGCGACGAUCAGUAGCCGAUCUGAGAGGAUGAACGGCCACAUUGGGACUGAGACACGGCCCAAACUCCUACGGGAGGCAGCAGUGGGGGAUAUGGCACAAUGGGGGAACCCUGAUGCAGCGACGCCGCGUGAGUGAAGAAGUAUUUCGGUAUGUAAAGCUCUAUCAGCAGGGAAGAUAAUGACAGUACCUGAAUAAGAAGCCCCGGCUAACUACGUG
rnacentral:rRNA from 1 species